rnacentral:rRNA from 1 species
AUUGAACGCUGGCGGCAGGCUUAACACAUGCAAGUCGAGCGGGGGAGGUUGCUUCGGUAACUGACCUAGCGGCGGACGGGUGAGUAAUGCUUAGGAAUCUGCCAUUUAGUGGGGGACAACAUUCCGAAAGGAAUGCUAAUACCGCAUACGUCCUACGGGAGAAAGCAGGGGAUCUUCGGACCUUGCGCUAAAUGAUGAGCCUAAGUCGGAUUAGCUAGUUGGUGGGGUAAAGGCCUACCAAGGCGACGAUCUGUAGCGGGUCUGAGAGGAUGAUCCGCCACACUGGGACUGAGACACGGCCCAGACUCCUACGGGAGGCAGCAGUGGGGAAUAUUGGACAAUGGGCGGAAGCCUGAUCCAGCCAUGCCGCGUGUGUGAAGAAGGCCUUAUGGUUGUAAAGCACUUUAAGCGAGGAGGAGGCUACUAGUAUUAAUACUACUGGAUAGUGGACGUUACUCGCAGAAUAAGCACCGGCUAACUCUGUGCCAGCAGCCGCAGUAA